rnacentral:tRNA from 1 species
GAAACGGUAGCUCAAUGGAAGAGCAUUGGCCUUCCCCGCCAGGGGUUGCGGGUUCGAGUCCCGCCCGUUUCA